UACGGAGGAGGCAGGCGUUAUCCGGAAUUAUUGGGCGUAAAGCGUCCGCAGGUGGCUAUUCAAGUCUGCGGUCAAAGACUGGGGCUUAACCCUGGAAAGGCCGUGGAAACUGAAGAGCUAGAGUGCAGUAGGGGUAGAGGGAAUUCCCGGUGUAGCGGUGAAAUGCGUAGAGCUCGGGAAGAACAUCGGUGGCGAAAGCGCUCUGCUGGACUACAACUGACACUCAGGGACGAAAGCUAGGGGAGCGAAUGGG
rnacentral:rRNA from 1 species